rnacentral:rRNA from 1 species
AUUGAGCGCUGGCGGCAUGCCUUACACAUGCAAGUCGAACGGCAGCGGGGGAGAAGCUUGCUUUUCCUGCCGGCGAGUGGCGAACGGGUGAGUAAUACAUCGGAACGUGCCCUGUAGUGGGGGAUAACUAGUCGAAAGAUUAGCUAAUACCGCAUACGACCUGAGGGUGAAAGUGGGGGACCGCAAGGCCUCAUGCUAUAGGAGCGGCCGUUGUCUGAUUAGCUAGUUGGUGGGGUAAAGGCCUACCAAGGCGACGAUCAGUAGCUGGUCUGAGAGGACGAUCAGCCACACUGGGACUGAGACACGGCCCAGACUCCUACGGGAGGCAGCAGUGGGGAAUUUUGGACAAUGGGCGAAAGCCUGAUCCAGCAAUGCCGCGUGUGUGAAGAAGGCCUUCGGGUUGUAAAGCACUUUUGUCCGGAAAGAAAUGGCUCUGGUUAAUACCUGGGGUCGAUGACGGUACCGGAAGAAUAAGGACCGGCUAACUACGUGCCAGCCGCCGCGGUAA